rnacentral:rRNA from 1 species
UUGAAGAGUUUGAUCAUGGCUCAGAUUGAACGCUGGCGGCAGGCCUAACACAUGCAAGUCGAACGGAAACAUGUCUAGCUUGCUAGAUGAUGUCGAGUGGCGGACGGGUGAGUAAUACUUAGGAACAUGCCUUUGGGUGGGGGAUAACUAUUGGAAACGAUAGCUAAUACCGCAUAACGUCUACGGACCAAAGGGGGGAGCUUGCUCCUCUCGCCCAAAGAGUGGCCUAAGCGAGAUUAGCUUGUUGGUGGGGUAAAGGCUCACCAAGGCGACGAUCUCUAGCUGUUCUGAGAGGAAGAUCAGCCACACUGGGACUGAGACACGGCCCAGACUCCUACGGGAGGCAGCAGUGGGGAAUAUUGCACAAUGGAGGAAACUCUGAUGCAGCCAUGCCGCGUGUGUGAAGAAGGCCUUCGGGUUGUAAAGCACUUUCAGUUGUGAGGAAAGCUUGUUGGUUAAUACCCAACAGGUAUGACGUUAGCAACAGAAGAAGGACCGGCUAACUCCGUGCCAGCAGCCGCGGUAAUACGGAGGGUCCGAGCGUUAAUCGGAAUUACUGGGCGUAAAGCGCACGCAGGCGGUUUGUUAAGCUAGAUGUGAAAGCCCCGGGCUCAACCUGGGAAUAGCAUUUAGAACUGGCAGACUAGAGUCUUGGAGAGGGGAGUGGAAUUUCUGGUGUAGCGGUGAAAUGCGUAGAUAUCAGAAGGAACAUCAGUGGCGAAGGCGACUCCCUGGCCAAAGACUGACGCUCAUGUGCGAAAGUGUGGGUAGCGAACAGGAUUAGAUACCCUGGUAGUCCACACCGUAAACGCUGUCUACUAGCUGUUUGUGGAUUUAAUCCGUGGGUAGCGAAGCUAACGCGAUAAGUAGACCGCCUGGGGAGUACGGCCGCAAGGUUAAAACUCAAAUGAAUUGACGGGGGCCCGCACAAGCGGUGGAGCAUGUGGUUUAAUU